GGGGUCGGGGUGAGAGAGACAAAGGAAGGGAAAGACACUGAGGACAUCCAGACAGAAAUGCACAGAUCACAGAUUAUACGUAGAUACAGCCCACCAUACGGGUCACGCUAACAAAUGACAUAAUGUCCUAAGGGGUGUGAUGAACUGUCUUAGGAACUGGAUGAAGGAGGGGUUAAUUCUGCCUAGGAGGCGGGAUACAGAAAAGAGAUGCCAGCGCUGUGGGGUCAGAAGCCCCUGGCAGAAAGACCAGGGGCGUGAGGAGGAGAGGCAGGAAGAAGGAAAGCAAAGGAUGUCACCCGCAGCCCUGUUCCCUGCCUGCCCCAGGCUCCACGUGGAGCGGGGCCUGCUCCACUUCCAGUCAGGUGCCUCAGUGUCCUCACACAACAGCAGAAGACGGAGGCAGCGAGGAUCCACUCACAAGAGGAGGAAGCGCUCUCCAUGGACUCUGUGUCCACGCUCUGGGCCAGCCUCUUGCCUAUGUCACCUUCCCUCCUCUGUGCCUAAAAACAGAGGCACGCGCCUAGAGGCCAGGUAAAGCUGGUAAAAUAAAACCAUUUGUCC
rnacentral:lncRNA from 1 species